rnacentral:rRNA from 1 species
GACGAACGCUGGCGGCGUGCUUAACACAUGCAAGUCGAGCGGUAAGGCCCUUUCGGGGGUACACGAGCGGGCGAACGGGUGAGUAACACGUGGGUGACCUGCCUUUAGCUCUGGGAUAAGCCUGGGAAACUGGGUCUAAUACCGGAUAUGACUCCAUGAUGCAUGUUGUGGGGUGGAAAGCCUUGUGCGGCUGGAGAUGGGCCCGCGGCCUAUCAGCUUGUUGGUGGGGUGANGGCCUACCAAGGCGACGACGGGUAGCCGGCCUGAGAGGGCGACCGGCCACACUGGGACUGAGACACGGCCCAGACUCCUACGGGAGGCAGCAGUGGGGAAUCUUGCGCAAUGGGCGAAAGCCUGACGCAGCGACGCCGCGUGAGGGAUGACGGCCUGG